GGUUUGUGGUGUUAAUACUUGAGAAUAUAUGCUUUCUGUUUAUUUGUUGUUUGUCUGAAAAUUUCUGUUGCUUUAAUACUUUCCAGAAUCAACUUUGCAUUUGGUUCUGAGGCUCCGUGGUGGGAUUAUUGAGCCGUCUCUCAUGGCAUUGGCUAGGAAAUACAACCAAGAUAAGAUGAUCUGCCGCAAGUGCUAUGCACGUUUGCACCCGCGUGCUGUCAACUGCAGGAAAAAGAAGUGUGGACACAGCAACCAGCUGAGGCCAAAGAAGAAGGUCAAGUAGACUGUGGAUCGUGCCAGCAGAAUAUUGUGUUUUACUAGGUCAUUUAGGUCAUUGGCUAUUUCAUUUGAAACUCUUAGCCUCAAACAGUUUUCUGUUAGAAAGUUUAGAAACAUUAAUAUGUUCGAACUUUACUUGUUUUGGGAUUUCUAUUUUCCUAUGUUUUAUUUCGCCAUGGUUUGAACCUCUUUGAAGAAUGGCAUUCAUUAAGCUUGAGCCUUUCCAUAUCGCAUAUUUUUAUUUUUGUGUGUUAUUAUUGUAACGGGAAUGAUGAAAUUUGUACUUCCACAA